rnacentral:rRNA from 1 species
CCUACGGGUGACAGCAGUGAGGAAUAAUGGUCAAUGGCCGGAAGGCUGAACCAGCCAUGCCGCGUGAAGGUCAGUGCCCUAUGGGCGUUAAACUUCUUUUGUGCGGGAGCAAUACUGGUCACGUGUGGCCAGACGAGAGUACCGUACGAAUAAGCAUCGGCUAACUCCGUGCAAGCAGCCGCGGUAAUACGGGGGAUGCAAGCGUAAUCCGGCUUUAUUGGGUUUAAAGGGUGCGUAGGCUGUGAGGGAAGUCAGCGGUGAAAUGCCCCCGCGCAACGGGGUGAAGGGCCAUUGAUACUGCCUGGCUGGAAUGCGCAUGCCGUGGGAGGAAUGUGUGGUGUAGCGGUGAAAUGCAUAGAUAUCACACAGAACACCGAUUGCGAAGGCAUCUCACGAAUCCGCGAUUGACGCUGAUGCACGAAAGCGUGGGUAUCAAACGGGAUUAGAUACCCCUGUAGUC